rnacentral:rRNA from 1 species
UACGAAGGGGGCUAGCGUUGUUCGGAUUUACUGGGCGUAAAGGGCUCGUAGGCGGCCAACUAAGUCGGACGUGAAAUCCCUCAGCUUAACUGGGGAACUGCGUCCGAUACUGGAUGGCUUGGAUUCGGGAGAGGAAUGCGGAAUUCCAGGUGUAGCGGUGAAAUGCGUAGAUAUCUGGAGGAACACCGGUGGCGAAGGCGGCAUUCUGGACCGACAUUGACGCUGAGGAGCGAAAGCCAGGGGAGCAAACGGG